rnacentral:lncRNA from 1 species
UUGGAAAGCUUGGUGCACACGAGGAAGAUGACGUGGACAUGGGAAGGCCGAAUGCUGAGAAAAAAAACUUGAUGGGUGAACGUGAAAAGAAUUUGAUGAAGUGCAGUGUGGGUUUAGCCAUCACUCAAUUGGAUUUGACUUGACUUGCAUACAUAAAGCUCAAUCAAUAAAUAAUCAAAUCAAACUUGAAUUACCUUUGAUAAUUUAUAAAAAUGCAAUGGUGAAGGUAACACAUUUUUUUAGUUAAAUUUGCAAACUAUGUGAAUUAAAAUAAUGAUAAGUGCUAUGAAUAAGAUAUUAAUUUAUGCAUUAUUUAGCACUUAUCAUU